rnacentral:rRNA from 1 species
UACGUAGGGUGCAAGCGUUGUCCGGAAUUAUUGGGCGUAAAGAGCUCGUAGGCGGUCUGUCGCGUCGGAUGUGAAAAUCCAGGGCUCAACCCUGGACCUGCAUUCGAUACGGGCAGACUAGAGUUCGGCAGGGGAGACUGGAAGUUCCUGGUGUAGCGGUGAAAUGCGCAGAUAUCAGGAGGAACACCGGUGGCGAAGGCGGUUCUCUGGGCCUGUUCGUGACGUGGAGGAGCGAAAGCGUGGGGGAGCGAACAG